GACGAACGCUGGCGGCGUGCUUAACACAUGCAAGUCGAACGGAAAGGCCCCUUUGGGGGUACUCGAGUGGCGAACGGGUGCGUAACACGUGAGUAACCUGCCCUUGACUUCGGGAUAACUUCAGGAAACUGGGGCUAAUACCGGAUAGGAAUCCUUGCUGCAUGGUGGGGGUUGGAAAGCUUCGGCGGGUUUGGCUGGACUCGCGGCUUAUCAGCUUGUUGGUGGGGUAGUGGCUUACCAAGGCUUUGACGGGUAGCGGGCCUGAGAGGGCGACCGGCCAUAUUGGGACUGAGAGACGGCCCAGACUCCUACGGGAGGCAGCAGUGGGGAAUAUUGCACAAGGGGCGGAAGCCUGAUGCAGCAACGCCGCGUGCGGGAUGACGGCCUUCGGGUUGUAAACCGCUUUCAGCAGGGGCGAAGCUUGUGGUGACGGUACCUGCAGAAGAAGCACCGGCUAACUACGUG
rnacentral:rRNA from 1 species